AUGCCACUUCGAGAUGGGGCAGUUGAUUUCCUGGCCUGGCACUUUGACCCAAAGGGUGUAUUUUCGGUCAAACAGGCGUAUAAGCUGAAACGAGCACUGUCCGAGCCCGGGAACGCGCAGGCAAAUGGGGCACCGCAGGUUGCGGGUAAUCUAGAUGGUGGGGGGGCGGAAGCAAAGUGGAAAAGGUUAUGGCAGCUGCCGUGCCCUGGGAAGGUGAGGCAUUUUAUGUGGCGGCUUGCACACAACACGCUCGCCACGAAGGAUAUCCUAUGCAGGAGAGGAAUGGUGAUCGAGGAUCAUAAAUGCUUCCUGUGCAAUAUGAGAAACGAGUCGGCAAAGCACUUGUUUGUGGAGUGCCAUGAAAUAAAGCAAGUCUGGCGGGGGCUCGAACUUGAACACGUUAGGCAACGGCUGACGGAAUGUGAUACAGUUGACUCCACUCUGCAAGUGGUGUGGCAGCUACCUGAGAAGGACCGGAUGUUGGUUAUCAUCAUGUGGUGGCAAUGGUGGGCUCAGCGCAACAAAGUCCGGGAGGGAGAUAAACCGAUGGAGCAAUCGCAGUUCGUUGCUAGGGUUGCAUGCACAGCCGGAGAGUACCAGGGGUGUUUUUGCAAAACACCCACCCCGCCAGCAACCGCGCCCCGUUGGUCCCCUCCUCCAGAGGAUAUAAUAAAGUUCAACGUGGACGGGGCUUUUAUUGAAGAUGGCAUGCAAGGGGGCUGGGGUGUGGUUGCGGGGGAUCACUCAGGAGAGGUGGUGGCCGCGCGGGCUGGACGUAUUGACCAUGCCGUGGAUGCGUUCAGCACAGAGCUGUCGGCAGUGGAACAAGCUCUCGACCUGGCGGCAGAACUGGGCGUCGUGCGGCUAGAUGUGGAGAUGGAUGCUUUGCUACUCCAACAGGCUCUGAACAGACGGUCUCCUGAUUGCUCCAGACAAGCGCAGGCAAUUGAAGAUAUAAAGGUGCAAUCCCGGCUGUGGUUCUCCUCGUGCGUUUUUAGCCACUGUAAGCGCGAGGCAAAUAUGCCAGCGCACCAUUUGGCCAAGUUAGGGCUCGCUCGCCAAGUUGGCUAUGUUCUAGUUGCUGAUCAUGUAAUUCCAGCCAUCGUUGCUGAGUCUGUAAUGGGCGAUCUUGCCCACAAUGUUUCGUAA
rnacentral:rRNA from 1 species